rnacentral:miRNA from 1 species
AUGCACCUGGGCAAGGAUUCAG